UUUUAUUGUCAUAUAUAGUAAAUGUUAUAAUUGUGUAUAAAUAUCCAUUUGUAUGUGCCCAGGGUGUUUUGUGUAUUUGUUUGUCCAUUUGUUGGCGUUACAUGUUACAGGGUGUGGUGUUCUAUGUAUUUUGUGUAAUGUGUUGCUAUUUUCAGUGUAACAGUUUACGCCCAGUGAUUUAAGUCCAGAGUCCAUGUUCUUGUCUUGCUUUUUAUUGGUCGCUAUUUUUAUAAUCCCUUGUUGGUCAGUCUUGGCGGGAAUAUCAUUAUUAGGUCAGUUAGACUCCUGCCUGCCAAGCUGAUCACAAGCUCUAUCUACUUGUCUUUAAAGUAUUCCAGGCAGUUACAAAAAUUAUUCGAAACUUGUACAGAGGUGGCAGUAAUAGAAGCAUCUAGGAUGGCUCUGUGCCAUACACAGAGUAUCUACAGAAUACAAUAAAUAUCCAGUAUGUAAAUACAUGCUAUCUAUGCCACCUGCCCUGCCUCUGUGAAUUGUACUGUACCAAGCAUUGAAGAAUAAAGAACUCAUUAUUACGUAAACAACACCCGUGGGCUCUAUUUAUGUGGAACACAACGGUUACACAAACUGCGACGUCAUUUUUUACGUUAUGGGCUGAUAACAUAAUUUUUUAGGCCAAUGAAAAGAUCGUCUGCUCAUUCUGACUGAAGCAUUAUGGGCUGAUAUACGAAUCGAAGAAACGAUUUGUAGUGCUGACAUAUGAAUGACAAUCGAACAGCCAAUGGAAACUAUUUUAUGCAUCAAUGGUCUUGUUGUGCGGUUGCUGUUGGUAUGAAAUGUAUCAUCAUAUCAUCAUCGAUAACAACCAUAACAAGAAUGUGACAGGUGUGGGAGAAAACUUGAUUACUGUACUAGCGCCUGCGAUUGGAAUAAUAUUGUAAAUCUUACGGUAAGUUUAUGACACAUAUGACUUCCGAGAAGAAGGCCGUCGUCAAAAACGCUGACAUGUCGGAAGAUAUGCAGCAAGGGGCGAUCGAUU